CACGGAGGAUCCGAGCGUUAUCCGGAUUUAUUGGGUUUAAAGGGUGCGUAGGUGGCCUGUUAAGUCAGGGGUGAAAGACGGUAGCUCAACUAUCGCAGUGCCCUUGAUACUGAUGGGCUUGAAUGAACUAGAGGUAGGCGGAAUGUGACAAGUAGCGGUGAAAUGCAUAGAUAUGUCACAGAACACCAAUUGCGAAGGCAGCUUACUAUGGUUUUAUUGACACCGAGGCACGAAAGCGUGGGGAUCAAACAGG
rnacentral:rRNA from 1 species